UGAUUUAACUGUAUUUGUUGAAUUUAUUGAAUCUCUCUCUCUCUCCCACAGAUAGGAAAGACAGCGAAUAAAGGUGGCACAGUGAGACAUCAUAACAGUGGGAUGUUUUCAUAUGCUAUCCGUAACAUAGGAAUAUAAAAUCUGCCAUACUAGAAUUUUAAAAGAUUUCAGUGCAGCAUUAUAAUUUCAUCGCCAUAAAGAAUUUCUGCCAUAAAAACUCCUACUGAUAGAACUCAACAGUUCCUCUGCAAUUUAGUUGACUGGGGCACUGAGAGGCUGUGACUCCCCAAGAAUUACACUAGUGGUUCCACAGCUCCAUCGGCCCGUGACAAGAUCCCAAGGAGGCAGGGGAAUGAUCCCAAAGGGUAAUCAAUCUGAAGGACGCACACUGCAGAGGAUCAUGAAAGCCCUCCUCAUUGUAGCUGUCAUCGCCAUAACUCUGGGCUCCCUGGCUGCUCAGGACCAGGAACGGGAAAAGCAAAGUCUGGAGAGUGAAAGCGAUGAACAGUUUGCAGGGUUUUAUGGGAAUCGUUACUGGUACCCGUUUGGCGCCUACCCACCCUACCCACCUUUCGGCUACCCCAGAUAUCCAUGGCCAGGGUAUUACUUCAUCCCAGUGCCACCUGCAGCAGCAUCUCCUCCUUCUGAUCAAAAAUAAGUCAAACGGAGAACAAUGAGGUCAUGCUCAAAUUCAACCUUGAGUUCAUGUUCUCUAAAAGCUGCCUCCUGGAAGAAGGCAUACUGAGGCCAAAGGGGAAGCAGUUGUCGAUGCAUAUCUUGGACUCAAGGCAUUUAACUAUGUUCAAUGUGAUGACUCUUUUCCAAUAAACAUUAAUGGC
rnacentral:lncRNA from 1 species